rnacentral:lncRNA from 1 species
GAUUGGGCUCAUCAAGAAAGGACAUCCUUCCAUUGUGUAGUCUGUGGCAUUACACCUAUUGUAAGUGGAUAUUAAAACUUGGUUUAUUUGGGUGUGUCCCUUGAGUUCUAGGGCUUCUAUCUUACAAAUCAAAGAUGCAAAUUUAGCCUCUUCAGUUAGAGAAGGUUGAACUUGAUGUACACCCCCUCUUGAAGGUGUGAGUCUAUCGGAUUUCUUAGUAAUC